rnacentral:tRNA from 1 species
GCUUUCCUGGGGCUCAGUUGGUAGAGUGUUGCGCUAACAACGCAAAGGUCAUGGGUUCAAAUCCCAGGGAAACUG